AGUGUAGGUGGGGUGGUCAGUCAGUGGUGAAAUGUUACAGCUUAACUGUAAACCUGCUUCUGAUACUGCCACUCUUGAGUGCGGAAGAGGAAAGCGGAAUUCCUGGUGUAGCGGUGAAAUGCGUAGAUAUCAGGAAGAACACCAGUAGCGAAGGCGGCUUUCUGGUCCGCAACUGACACUGAGCCUCGAAAGCGUGGGUAGCAAACA
rnacentral:rRNA from 1 species